rnacentral:rRNA from 1 species
GAUGAACGCUGGCGGCGUGCCUAACACAUGCAAGUCGAGCGAGAAGUUUGAAAAAUGAGUUUUCGGACAAGUGAUUCAAACGGAAAGCGGCGGACGGGUGAGUAGCGCGUAGGCAACCUGCCCCGUGCAGAGGGACAGCCUCGGGAAACCGGGAUUAAGACCUCAUGAUAUCGGGUUAUCACAUGGUAAUCCGGUCAACGAUUUAUAGGCAUGGGAUGGGCCUGCGUCUGAUUAGCUGGUUGGUGGGGUAACGGCCUACCAAGGCGACGAUCAGUAGCAGAACUGAGAGGUUCAUCUGCCACAUUGGAACUGAGACACGGUCCAAACUCCUACGGGAGGCAGCAGUGAGGAAUAUUGCACAAUGGGCGAAAGCCUGAUGCAGCAACGCCGCGUGAGCGAAGAAGGCCUUUGGGUCGUAAAGCUCUGUCCUUGGGGAAGAAACAAAUGACGGUACCCUUGGAGGAAGCCCCGGCUAACUACGUGCCAGCAGCCGCGGUAA